rnacentral:rRNA from 1 species
GACGAACGCUGGCGGCGUGCCUAAUACAUGCAAGUAGAACGCUGAAGAGAGGAGCUUGCUCUUCUUGGCUGAGUUGCGAACGGGUGAGUAACGCGUAGGUAACCUGCCUGGUAGCGGGGGAUAACUAUUGGAAACGAUAGCUAAUACCGCAUAAAAUGGAUUAUCGCAUGAUAAUCCAUUGAAAGGUGCAAAUGCAUCACUACCAGAUGGACCUGCGUUGUAUUAGCUAGUUGGUGGGGUAACGGCUCACCAAGGCGACGAUACAUAGCCGACCUGAGAGGGUGAUCGGCCACACUGGGACUGAGACACGGCCCAGACUCCUACGGGAGGCAGCAGUAGGGAAUCGUCGGCAAGGGACGGAAGUCUGACCGAGCAACGCCGCGUGAGUGAAGAAGGUUGUCGGAUCGGAAAGCUCUGUUGUAAGAGAAGAACGAGUGUGAGAGUGGAAAGUUCACACUGUGACGGUAUCUUACCAGAAAGGGACGGCUAACUACGUG